rnacentral:rRNA from 1 species
GUGGGGUAAUGGCCUACCAAGGCGACGACGGGUAGCCGGCCUGAGAGGGUGACCGGCCACACUGGGACUGAGACACGGCCCAGACUCCUACGGGAGGCAGCAGUGGGGAAUAUUGGACAAUGGGCGAAAGCCUGAUCCAGCAACGCCGCGUGAGGGAUGACGGCCUUCGGGUUGUAAACCUCUUUCAGCAGGGACGAAGCGAAAGUGACGGUACCUGCAGAAGAAGCACCGGCCAACUACGUGCCAGCAGCCGCGGUAAUACAUAGGGUGCAAGCGUUGUCCGGAAUUAUUGGGCGUAAAGGGCUCGUAGGCGGUCCAUCACGUCGGGAGUGAAAAGCUGGGGCUCAACCCCAGUCCUGCUUCCGAUACGGGUGGACUAGAGGUAGGUAGGGGAGAUCGGAAUUCCUGGUGUAGCGGUGAAAUGCGCAGAUAUCAGGAGGAACACCGGUGGCGAAGGCGGAUCUCUGGGCCUUACCUGACGCUGAGGAGCGAAAGCAUGGGGAGCAAACAGGAUUAGAUACCCUGGUAGUCCAUGCCGUAAACGUUGGGCGCUAGGUGUGGGGGACAUUCCACGUCCUCCGUGCCGCAGCUAACGCAUUAAGCG